UCCGGUAUGGUGUAGUGGCUAACAUUUCGCGCUCUCAUAACCUGAGGGAAUGGCACCGCGGAGCCCAGGGUUCGAUUCCCUGUACCGGAG
rnacentral:tRNA from 1 species